AAUAUCGCAAUAGUACGCACGUUUAUACCAAGACCCACUUCUGUACCUUAUUGUGUUCAAGGGGUAAAUUCGGACCAAACAAACACAACAGAGUAGGAAACCAAUCUCCGUUCCGUUUAUUGCUAAAAUGAAAGUCUUUAAAACAAAGCCGAUAGGAUUUCUCUACUAUACUGGUAAUUCAAGAUAGCGGUGACAGCCCCCGCAGAAACCGUUCAUAUAUACAUACAAUUCUGCAAGCUAGAAAGGAGCCGGGUUAUUACCACCACCUGGUGCAGAAACUUCGUCUGGAUUGUGCGCGUUUCAGAUACUAUUAUCGGAUGGACACCACCCAGUUUCACAUGUUGCUCAGCAAAGUUGGUCCCUUCAUCGAAAGGCAAAACACAUUUUGGAGGGAACCCAUGAAACCUGGACAACGACCGGCUAUAUAUCUGAGGUACUUGGCAACUGGUGACUCUUAGGACCAUUGCCUACAGCUACCGUGUGGGCAUCAGUACUGUGGUUGGCAUGGUUGCUGAGGUCUGCAGGGUCACCUGGGAAGGCUUGGAGAUGGGCUACAUGCCUGAGCCAACCACAGAGGACUGGAGGACAGUGGAGGGAAUUCAGGAAGCUCUGGAACUUUCCCAACUGUGUAGGUGCCCUGGAUGUGAGGAGCCCCCAGGAACUCUAAAUCACCUUGUUGUCUGGCUGAUGUUUUAUCCACCACAAAUACCUGCCACUCGUAGAGCAAGUUCUGAGUAUUGUACGCAGAUGUUAUGUACCCGGUCAUCAACCCUACUGCCACACACACUCACUGUGACCCCACACACACACUCACUGUGACCCCACACACACACUCAC